rnacentral:rRNA from 1 species
ACGAACGCUGGCGGCGUGCUUAACACAUGCAAGUCGAACGAAGAGCGAUGGAAGCUUGCUUCUAUCAAUCUUAGUGGCGAACGGGUGAGUAACGCGUAAUCAACCUGCCCUUCAGAGGGGGACAACAGUUGGAAACGACUGCUAAUACCGCAUACGAUCUGACCUCGGCAUCGAGGAUAGAUGAAAGGUGGCCUCUACAUGUAAGCUAUCACUGAAGGAGGGGAUUGCGUCUGAUUAGCUAGUUGGAGGGGUAACGGCCCACCAAGGCGAUGAUCAGUAGCCGGUCUGAGAGGAUGAACGGCCACAUUGGGACUGAGACACGGCCCAGACUCCUACGGGAGGCAGCAGUGGGGAAUCUUCCGCAAUGGACGAAAGUCUGACGGAGCAACGCCGCGUGAGUGAUGACGGCCUUCGGGUUGUAAAGCUCUGUUAAUCGGGACGAAAGGCCUUUUUGCGAAUAGUGAGAAGGAUUGACGGUACCGGAAUAGAAAGCCACGGCUAACUACGUG